rnacentral:tRNA from 1 species
CAAAUUAGAGCUUGAAAUUAAGCAUCUUAUUUACAUUAAGAAGUAAAUUGUGUAAUUCAAUUUAAUUUGA